rnacentral:lncRNA from 1 species
CAUAUCUUUUGUGAGAGUUGUGUUACAGUCUGGUUUGAUCGAGAAAAGACAUGCCCGAUGUGUAGGACUCAGAUCCAUGCGGAGAAUCCAGAGUGGAAAGAUGGAUCAACAAGUGUCCACAUUCAGUGGUAUUGAAAGUUCCAAAUAAUAACAUUAGAAAUCAACAAAGUGGUAGAUUUAAGACAAAAGAGAUAGCUGAUUAUAUCAGUAAAAGUUUUUUGGCAUUGAUGGAUGGGGAUUAUUUACUGUGGAUUCAUAUAUUUUCAUUAGUACCAAUUUUCUUGGAUUGAGGAAAACUUACACUUUCGUGGAUAUUUAAUUUCAUCGUAUUGCCAAAAUCUGCACCCGCAAAAUCAACUAAAAUUGGUUUCAAACGAAAAUAAAUGAAUCCACAGUAUCAGAAAAGUUUUUUGGCAUUGAUUGAUGGGGAAUAUUUACUGUAUAUUCAUUUAUUUUCAUCGGAACCAAUUUUCUUGGAUUGAAGAAAACUUACUUUUUCGUGGUUAUUUGAUUUCUUGGUAUUGCCAAAGUCUAUAACCUUGAGUACAUUUGUAAUUCGUUGAACACUAAAUUUGAUGGUUUAUAUCUGUACCAUCAAAAUCCACAAAAAUUAUUAUCAAACGAAUAAUAGUGGGUCUCAUUGGGGUCUAAGCGUGUUGCGGGAUUGCCGAUUUUUUGUAAGCGUGACAUGUGAAAGUCAAAUUAUUAUGCCGUGAAAACGGGAAAUGAAGUCUAGCGGGACACGGGAAAUUACAAAAAAAUGAGAAUUGCUUACGUAUAUAAUGUAAGCGGGAUACGGGAAUCUGAAAAAACAGUAAGCGUGAUCCAGGAUCAGAACCCCCCAAUGAGACCCCCAUAAUAAGGAAUCCACAGUAUGACUUUAUUGUUAUUAGGGGUAGUGGACACAUUUGUUUUUUAAUUGUUUUCUGGGGUAAAAUAAUGUAUUGCUUAUAAUUGUUAUUAUAAUUAUUAUAUUUUAAUUAAUAUAGUGUCAAAAAAAUGAAAGUGAGGCUCUUUUAUGAGAAUUUGUAUGUACUGGUAUAAACAUAAAAAGCCAAUGAUUUUGUUAUAGGUAAAAUUUUAAAUAAAAGUAAAUAUACAUUUUACAAAAACCAUACAUGCAUUACCUGUGUGUCACCUAGCACAUGAUUUAUUAGUUGUUUUAAGAUCAUGUUAAAUAAAUAAUAGUUUUUUCAUCUUUGCUCCUUUGUACAAAGUUAGAAUGUUUAUGACACUACUAUAAAUACCUAUACACCAUGUACACAUACAGAAACAAGAAACUUAAAUGUGGUAUAUAGUCCUGGAUUUUAUGGGCAUGCAUUGGUACUUUUAAAUUUUGAAUAUUAUGUUUUUGAAAGCUUAUAAAAAUGGUGGUAUAUAUAUAUCCUAUUUCUGGAAAUCUACAUUCUACAUGAAGUACUUUUUAAUAUUAAAACACUGGUUCUUCCAGAGGUAUGUUACAACUGAGAAAUGGUAUUUUGAAAUGUUAAAUUGUUUGAGAUGUUUUCCUUGAUACUUUUACAGCACAACAAAAUGUCUUUUGUCAUAUUGCAGCCAACAUCAAUCUGUUAUUUUAGGUUUGCAGUCCGCACUCCAAUGCCAUAUAAACACAUUUAUUUUAAAUCAGUACAGUUAUGUCAUAGUUGACUGUUUUUAAUAAUCAUGUUAUUGCUAAGUGGUGAUAUUCCUAUUAUUUCCAAUAUACUUUGUUUACUAAGUUUGAUUAUAUUAAUAAAUUGUGUUUUUGUUUUUGAAAUUAUA